rnacentral:snRNA from 1 species
GGAUGUGAGGGCGAUCUGGCUGCAACAUCUGUCACCUCAUUGAUCACCAGGGUUGAUUUGGCUGAUCUGGCUGGCUAGGCUGGUGUCCCCUUCCUCCCUCACCUCUCCAUGUGCGUCCCUCCCGAAGCUGCGCGCUUGGUCAAAGAGGACGGCCUUCCCCGAAUAGAGACGGACCGGUCUUCGGUCGAGGGUAUAUGAGUAGCUGCGCUCCCCUACUAGAACCUCCAAACAAGCUCUCAGCACAACAUGUAUAAAAUUUAUGAUGUACAGAGUAGUAAGGCAUAAGGUCUGUUGUGUGAACUUUAU